rnacentral:rRNA from 1 species
GACAGAGGGGGCAAGCGUUGCUCGGAAUUACUGGGCGUAAAGGGCGCGUAGGCGGGAUGGCAAGUCGGUCGUGAAAUCCCUCGGCUCAACCGAGGAACGUCGAUCGAUACUGCUGUUCUUGAGGAUUGCAGAGGAGACUGGAAUUCCCGGUGUAGCGGUGAAAUGUGUAGAGAUCGGGAGGAGCACCGGUGGCGAAGGCGGGUCUCUGGGCAAUUCCUGACGCUGAGGCGCGAAAGCGUGGGGAGCAAACGGG